AGUGAACGCUGGCGGUAGGCCUAACACAUGCAAGUCGAACGGCAGCACAGUAAGAGCUUGCUCUUACGGGUGGCGAGUGGCGGACGGGUGAGGAAUACAUCGGAAUCUACUUUUUCGUGGGGGAUAACGUAGGGAAACUUACGCUAAUACCGCAUAAGACCUACGGGUGAAAGCAGGGGAUCUUCGGAACUUGCGCGAUUGAAUGAGCCGAUGUCGGAUUAGCUAGUUGGCGGGGUAAAGGCCCACCAAGGCGACGAUCCGUAGCUGGUCUGAGAGGAUGAUCAGCCACACUGGAACUGAGACACGGUCCAGACUCCUACGGGAGGCAGCAGUGGGGAAUAUUGGACAAUGGGCGCAAGCCUGAUCCAGCCAUACCGCGUGGGUGAAGAAGGCCUUCGGGUUGUAAAGCCCUUUUGUUGGGAAAGAAAAGCAGCAGGUUAAUACCCCGCUGUUCUGACGGUACCCAAAGAAUAAGCACCGGCUAACUUCGUG
rnacentral:rRNA from 1 species